rnacentral:tRNA from 1 species
GCCUGAGUGGCUCAGUGGUUGAGCGUCUGCCUUUGGCUCAAGGUGUGAUCCCAGAAGUCCUGGGAUCGAGUCCCACAUCGGGCU